UGCAUUCUAUGCAUCUUGAUGAUUCACAAAUUGUAGUUUUGAAGCAUAACGUAUGGCAUGUGAAAGGGCUUAUACAGAUUUCUAGAUCUAUUGGUGAUGUGUAUUUAAAAAAGGCUGAGUUCAACAGGGAGCCUCUUUAUGCAAAGUUUCGCCUUCGCAAACCUUUCAAAAAGCCAAUAUUGAGUGCUGACCCAUCUAUUACAGUUCAUGAGUUGCAGCCUCAUGAUCAAUUUGUUAUAUUUGCAUCUGAUGGGCUCUGGGAAUACCUUAGCAAUCGGGAAGCAGUUGAUAUAGUUCAAAACCAUCCAUGUAGUGUAAGUAUCAUGUCUCUAGACUAACUGCUAUUUUGCCAAUCAUCUUUGGAUCUCUCUCUACACAUAUAUAUAAGGAUAUUAUUAUAUUGAAAAAACCUUUUUUAAAAUUAUUUUUAUUAUUUGAAAGACUUAGAAUUACUACUAAAAUCUUGUUUUUUUUUUCUUCUUUAAAUUUCUUUAAAAUCAUCCGUCAGUCAACGAUUUUGGUCGAAAUUGACUAUUAAAAGAUGAUUUUGCUCCUAUCCUCUAACUGAUGCGGAUAUCACUGUGGCUAAGAAACCCAAAGGGGAGCAACUCAAAGCUAUGAAGGUUGAUACUACCAUUUUGGGUCUUGAUGAUGAGAGAGCCAAGGAGAUGCCUUACACUGAUUUUAGAAAUUGUUGGUACACUUGGUCCUAAAUCUCGAUCGGUGAUGUUAUUUCUGGCUGUCCGGUAUGAGAUUUUCAACCUAUUUGAUUUCAUAUAUUUUUGGUUUUUUUUAACUAAUUAAAGAAUGAAUAACUGCUUUUGUGAAGCUUUUCAGUCUGUUGGGUUUGGUUGGAUUUUUGACAUGGGGUUUUUGAAAUUAUUCAUGGAUUUUUUGUUUUAUUGAAGGAAAACUGUGUUAGGAUUGGAUUUAGGUUUUGGGUCAAGAAUUUUAGAUGUUUUUUUUAUUUAGUUUUUAUUACUUUGUUUGUAGUGGGUUUUAUUUUUUUGAAAUCUGAUUAUGUUGUUUGUAGUUAGUAUGUUUUCAAUCUGAUCAGUCUUUUUUUUUGUUUUUGAUCUCUUCAUUUCUUAUUAUAUUUGUUUAUAUUAGAAUCCAACAAAUUGAGGAGAUUGAUCUUUGUUUAUAUGAUUCUAUUAUUUUCUUCUCAACUUUUCCUAACUACUCUAUCAUAGGAAGAACAGAGAAUGGUUUGCCAUAGGUUAUAUUUUUUGUAUGUGCAUGUUAUAUUAAGUAUUAAUGUGUUACUUUUUAGAGGCAAUUAUAGGUUUUAAAAGUUUUUGUUGUUCUUUUAUAAAGGUUGCAUGGUUUUUUUAAUAAAAUUAUGUAAGAUUUUAACAAUCCCAAGUAUUAAUGGGUUAGCUCUAGAUCUAAGAAUUUUAUUUAUGCAUUGUUAGCAUUAUUUGUUUGAGUAUUAUUUAAUCUUGAUAAUUAAUCUAAUCAAUCCUAAAAUCUUAUUAAUACUUGUAUGUUUUGUUUCUCUAUUUACUAAUUGAUUGUGUUACUAUUUUAAACUCACUAAAUUGAUUACUACUUAUUCAAAUCCUUUUAUUUGUGUGAUUAAUUUUUUGUUCGAGUAUUGUUGAAAUAUUUUUAUAAUUUAAUUCUGUUUUUUCCUCUAAUGUAAGCAUUUUUGGGGAUUUAUGCUUGUAAAAUUUUUGGCAUAUGAUGAUCUGAGAAUGGUUUGGCAUAGGUGGAUUUAUGUUACUAUAUUUUUUAUGUGUACAUGUUAUAUUAAGUUUUAAUGUGUUACUUUUCAGAGGCAAGUAUAAGUUUUAAAAGUUUUUGUUUUUCUUUUUUAAUGGCUACAUGGGUUUUAACAAUCCAAGUAUUAAUGAGUUAGCUCUAGAUCUAAGUAUUUUAUUUUUGCAUUAACAUUGUUUUUUGAUAGUUGAUCUAAUCAAUCCUAAAUUCUUAUUAAUGUUUGUAGGUUUUAUUUGUCUAUUUACUUUGCUACUAUUUUAAACUCACUAAAUUUAUAAACUGAAAACAUUUAAAAUAUUUUUACUCACAUAGCAUAAUAUAUCAUAAUUGAAUUUGUAUAAGAAGAUACCUUGUGAUUUGUUGAACCUUAUCUUAUAUGAACUUACUGCACUGAUUUGUGAAUAACUACCUGAUUAGAGAAAAAAACCAAAUUUCUAUAAGAUGAAUAUGGUACUUUAUAAUUGAAUUUGUAUAAGAUGGCAUUUCACUGCCUCAUUUGAGAUAAAAUUUUAUUUUGAAUAAGAUGCAUAAAGUAAUUAAUUAUUGAAUUGAGUAAUUUGUUUAAACAUUUUCAAUUUACAUUAUUUUUGACUGUCGAUUUACCUUGUCACUUUGCUUAGAAUGACCACCUAAUUUCAGAAAAAAAAUGGUUAGUAAAUCAAUGAUCUAUGAUAUAGAGUAAUUGAUAAGUGAAUACAGUAAAUUGUUUAAAAAAUUUGAAUUUGCAUUAUUUUUAUGUGUCAACUUAUCUUGGGACUUUGCUGUGAAGAUUGACCACCACCUGAUUUGUGAAAAAAAUAGUUACUGAAUCAAUGAUUUAUGAUUAUAAAGAAUUUGAGAUGCAAUUAUUUGAUAAAAAAUUGGAUAGUAAAUUGAGAUGUAAUUAUUUAUGUGAAAAUUGUAUAGUAAAUCAAUAAUGGAUGAUUAUAAAGAAUUUGAGAUG